rnacentral:rRNA from 1 species
UACGUAGGGGGCAAGCGUUGUCCGGAUUUAUUGGGCGUAAAGAGCGUGUAGGCGGUUUGGUAGGUCCGCUGUGAAAACUCGAGGCUCAACCUCGAGACGCCGGUGGAAACCAUCAGACUAGAGUCCGGAAGAGGAGAGUGGAAUUCCUGGUGUAGCGGUGAAAUGCGCAGAUAUCAGGAAGAACACCCGUGGCGAAAGCGGCUCUCUGGAACGGUACUGACGCUGAGACGCGAAAGCGUGGGGAGCGAACAGG